UUGGCCCCUGUGUCCAUUUGUAAUUUCCAGACAAUUUAUCAAACCAGCAAAAGCAGUGAAAGCAGCAAAGGAACAGCAAAAGCAAGGGGAUGCCAAGUGCCGAAGGCCAGAAGUCGGAAUGGAAAUGGCGCAGAAAAUGCGCUUCAAGUGGCCAUGGCCAUGACCAUCGACUGGAUGGAUAGAUGGAAUGGAAAGCCGGGGGUGGCGGCGAGUUCAAAUAAAGUAAAAAUUCUUCGAUUCGUGUACAAUCAAAUUGGGAUGGUGGAAAAUGGGAUAGUGGACAAUCAGCCGCGGGACGGAUACUUCAUAAAUUUCUUCGACCGAUCCACUUUAAUGCAAGUUUUUGGCAUCGGCAUCUGUGUGGAAACUUCUUCAAGUACGAGAAUUCGAAGGAGUACGGAAAUUAGCCUUGUCGCAAUCGCAUUCUCUGUCGUCUGCAAAGUUUCAAUUGAAUUUUCGUCCGGCAUAAAAAUGCAGCAACUUGAACUUUUCGCCGUGUACGAGAAGCGAUCAUCAACCAAGUAAUUAAUUUUGCAUAUGUGAAAGUGCAGCCAAAGAGGAUGGGCAUGGAUGGAAGUCCUGACACUUGUCGCUACCCCUUGACCCCUCGGGAAUGUGAUCAACUUAACGAGGUGCCGCCAGUGAGGAGUCAUGGAGCCAGUGCACCGAUAAAAAAGUUAAUAAACCUAACAGCACGAUU
ensembl:ncRNA lncRNA:CR45322 long non-coding RNA:CR45322